rnacentral:lncRNA from 1 species
CAGCACAGCUGGCUGGAGAAUUUUGGGAGUUGAAGUCCACAAGUCUUAAAGUUGGCAAGUUUGGGGAACCUUGCCUUAGAAUGAAGAGAGAGAUAGCAGACUUGGUUGAUCUUCUUGGCUUCUUGUCUAAAGCGCCUCGCAGGGCUGACCCCGUAUGUAACGCCCACAACUUCCAGCUCCUCCCAUCACACCCAAACAAUUGUCACUGACUUAAAAGUCCUUGUAAGCUGUUAAAACAACCCACUGAAUUAACUUUCUGAAAUUCACAGAUCUUGUUGUCGGGCCGCCUGAACUCUCCAUGGAAGAAAUCACCACCGCUGUGAUGAGCCUGGACUGCAAUACAAUUAUUUUGACCACAGCCGUAUAGCGCCAAAUUGUCAAAAAGGAGCGUGGCCUCAGUUUACCAAACCAAACGGAAAACUCUUCCAGAAGCUGUUCCAGAAACUCAUCCUUUUCCUUCAAGAAGCUCAUCCUUUUCCUUCUGGAGGACAUCAAGAUGGCCGCCUUUCCCUCAAAACCAAUUCCUCUCUUCGUCUUUUUUUUUUCAGCACAAGCCCUUUAUUGGAUGUGGUGUCCAUCUCCCUCAACAUUGUCACGCUGACUGCUUCUCUUCGCUUUGCAUCCUCUGAAUAACCUAGAUCUCAACGAAAUACUGUAAAAUAAAAU